GGAGGAGGCGGAGGAGGCGGAGGAGGCGGAGGAGGAGAAAUGUGGUCAGUAGAGAUUGCACUUACUAAAGUUUCAAAUGAGACAAAUCUCUGUGGGGAAUUGAAUUAGAGGCCACAGAAUUUGUUUCUACUUUACCAAUGUCCUGAAACUUAAUGAAAAGCCAAAUUUAAAAGUAGCAGACUAAUUUGGUAGGGGAAAUUCCAUGAGAAGAGUGCAUUCAAAAUUUGGCAUGGUUUUUGGUGGAUGCUUUUAGCCAGGCUUACAGCAAGACUCAGGAACAAAAAGUAUAUAAAAGUUUGAAAAUGUGUGCUCAGACUGGCAAAGGAAGUAGUUGAAGUAAGAUGUGGUAUUACAGAGGUUAGUGCCUUUAAAAAUAACAAGAAAAAGAAGACGAGAAAGGGGGAAAACCACUUUGCAUAGGAAAAUAGGAAAGAUACUUUGAAAGCAUCCCAGAGACUGGCCAGAGCCCAAGUAUCACAAGUUGCAGGGUGUAAGGUUGUAUAAUUGUGAAUUCAUUCAAAAGAGAGGCCUUUGGGGUAGAUUGCUCCCACAAAUCAUGAAGGGAAAUGCUUUCCUGAGUUUAGCUGCCUGGUGGGGGGUCGGGGGGAAGCAGAAUGCUAUGGUACUAGAUAUGAACUAUCCCUAGAGAAGGCUCAUAUAUUAAAACACACUUGUACUGACAGUCCUCAAGAGGUAGUGGCAGGAGAGUCCCACGUUCUAGACCAGUUUGUACUGCCUGAGUUAUUUUCUCACUACUCCUACUUGCAAAAGAAUGGCUGGUCCCAUUUUCGGCUGUUUUAAAAACUAAAGGAGGUGAGACCUAGCUGGAGGAGGUAACUCACUAGGAGUAGGUUCUUGUAUUAUCCUUGACCCCUUGCAGCCUCUCUUUCUACCCCUGGCUAUGUGACAUGCUCUGCUUUACCAUGCCCUCUCCAUACCGGUGGACGGAUGAUGAAAGUCAUCAAUGUAAAAACCAAGCUAAACUGACUGCUUAUAACCAAACUGACGUCUGACCUGUUACCUGCAUGCGGCACACACGGCCAAUGUCUCCCCAGACCUUCUUAGCCCACACCUCCGCAUGCCGAGGAUGCCUUGCUGAGAACGCCCACAGACCCUGCCUCAAAAGCGUGCUCGGCUUUUGUGCCAGAAAACUGAGAAUGCCAAAGUAAGCAUCGUGGAAACACUCCUGAAACAACACCAACAAGACUCGUAGAGAAAUGGCCUGGCCUCGUGUCCUGGAAUAGGCCAACACCUGUAAGAGACUGGGCUACGUUGGAUCAGAACAAUAGAGGCUGGGAGAGGAUGAGUCAGGCUCAGCAAAACGUCAAGCUAACGGCGCUGCCGGGAGGUUGGACAGCGGCGUGUCACCGGGCAGACGGCAGCCACGGACUCCUGCCGGAGAUUAGCCUCGCUUGGGCAGUGGACAAGAUGCUGUACAGGUGCCCAGCUUGUUAGUUUCCUCAUCGUGCAGGGAGGAGUCCCGGAGCAUCUAGCCUUCCUCCUAAAUUCCUUUCAGACUCUUCACAGGCUGCCUAAAAAUAAGAACGCAGGUUUUGUUGUUUUUUGAAGGAUACGCUUGAACCCCAUGGUUGUUUACUAGUUUGGGUUGUCAAAAAUUUCCCAGGGAGCCUUGGAUUUCCCAGCUGUGACAUGAGCUAGCUGAGUGGAAGAGCUGCCGCGGGUCUAACACACAAAAGCUUCCCCCCAAAACGGGAACCCCUGAGCCUUCCUGCCUUAUAAAAAUCCCCUUUGGAACA